AUACUUACCUGGCAGGGGAGAUACCAUGAUCAAGAAGGUGGUUCACCCAGGGCGAGGCUCGGCCAUUGCACUCCGGCUGUGCUGACCCCUGCGAAUUCCCCAAAUGUGGGAAUCUCGACUGGGAAGA
rnacentral:snRNA from 1 species